rnacentral:misc_RNA from 1 species
UACGGAGGAUCCAAGCGUUAUCCGGAAUCAUUGGGUUUAAAGGGUCCGUAGGCGGGACAAUAAGUCAGUGGUGAAAUACUCCGGCUCAACUGUAGAACUGCCAUUGAUACUGUUGUCCUUGAGUUACUGUGAAGUGGUUGGAAUAUGUAGUGUAGCGGUGAAAUGCAUAGAUAUUACAUAGAACACCGAUUGCGAAGGCAGAUCACUAACAGUACACUGACGCUGAUGGACGAAAGCGUAGGUAGCAAACAGG